rnacentral:rRNA from 1 species
GGGGAAUAUUGCACAAUGGGCGCAAGCCUGAUGCAGCCAUGCCGCGUGUGUGAAGAAGGCCUUCGGGUUGUAAAGCACUUUCAGCGAGGAGGAAGGGUUCAGUGUUAAUAGCACUGUUCAUUGACGUUACUCGCAGAAGAAGCACCGGCUAACUCCGUGCCAGCAGCCGCGGUAAUACGGAGGGUGCAAGCGUUAAUCGGAAUUACUGGGCGUAAAGCGCACGCAGGCGGUUUGUUAAGUCAGAUGUGAAAUCCCCGCGCUUAACGUGGGAACUGCAUUUGAAACUGGCAAGCUAGAGUCUUGUAGAGGGGGGUAGAAUUCCAGGUGUAGCGGUGAAAUGCGUAGAGAUCUGGAGGAAUACCGGUGGCGAAGGCGGCCCCCUGGACAAAGAC